ensembl:snRNA U2 U2 spliceosomal RNA
AGGCCAUCGCCGGCCUUUUGGCUAAGAUCAAGUGUAGUAUCUGUUCUUAUCAGUUUAAUAUCUGAUACGCCCCGAUUCGGGGCAACGAUUAAACCCAUUUUUAGAACAGGGAGCUGAAUAAGGGGCUCGCCCGUUCGCUCCACGCAUCGACCCGGUAUUGCAGCGCCCGGGAACGGUGCCCCUUUG